GUCGUCAGUUCGUACUGUGAAGCCGAUCCUGUUAAGUCAGGCAACGAGCGAGACCCACGCCAACAGUUGCCAGCUCGUCCUCCGGGGAUGGUGGGGACGACUGUUGGGACCGCCUCUGCUAAGAGGAGGAAGGAAUGGGCAACGGUAGGUCAGCAUGCCCCGAAUUAUCUGGGCUACACGCGGGCUACAAUGGGUGGGACAAUGGGUAUCGACACCGAAAGGUGAAGGCAAUCUCCUAAACCCAUCCGUAGUUCGGAUUGUGGGCUGCAACUCGCCCACAUGAAGCUGGAAUCUGUAGUAAUCGUGUCUCAAAAUGGCACGGUGAAUAUGUCCCUGCUCCUU
rnacentral:rRNA from 1 species